UUCCGUAGGUGAACCUGCGGAAGGAUCRUU
rnacentral:rRNA from 1 species